UUAGAUUCUCAGUGGCUCAGAUGAAAGGAUAUGAUUUUUCGUCACUGUAAUAUGCUUUAAUGUUGAAUGAGAUUCAGGUGAUAAAGAGCCAGAAAUUGUGUCCUCUAGCUUCACCAUGAUUUGUUUGUGAAUGUAAUGUAAUGAAACACCUGUAAUCUUCAUCUCUUCAACAUCAUUUCCAUGUACAGACAUGUAGAAGAUGAAUUAUUUAUAGCCAUUACACAGAACAUGUCUUGUGAGUUUUUGUGAGCCUGUGUUGAUGUGCAUGGUCGUAAGUGCAUUUUGUAUCACACACUCUCAUAAAGGAACUCACCUGCUGCUGGAACCCUGAAACAUCUGCUCUCGCUUCAUUACAGCCAACUUCCUUUUAUGCAUUUUGAGCAUCCUACUUUCUGUCCUCCUCUCUUUCACUCUCUAGUUGAGUUUUGGGUAGCGAAGUUGAGGGGAAAAAGGAAAACUGAAUGAUAAACAGAUCAGCAACAAUAGUGUGAAAUGCCAGCCCUCUUUUGCUUGUACAAAGGAACAUGCUUGUGUAUUCCCUCUUGUCCUUUGCCGUUUCUGUGUCUCUCUAUUGUCUCCGGAUCUGAAUCAAGCUGUGCUGGAUCUCUAGAUGCUCAGAAAGUCUCGGUGGGCCGUGCCGCCCCAGGAGAACGUGCUCUAAAUGAGCCUCCAUUCAAAACGCAACAUCUCCCUUUCCACUGCACAAAAAAUGCCAGGACAGAGGAGGAGAAGUCAGGGUGGACUGAGGAACAGCAAGCACGAGUGUACGCUCUCGUCACAGGAGUACGUGCACGAGCUGCAGUGUUAGUAAUCAUUCUUCACCUGCUGGAGACUGGGAUACAGCUGGGAGCACAGGGGUACUGCCUCAUACGCAAAUCAGGUGUUGGUAACUACUUCCCCCUCCUACUAUUUUCUGCCUGUCGUCAAAUAAUGAGGAUUCCAAUGCUUUUGCUCAUUUAUUGUCAAAAUAAAGCUGAAAAACAGAGUCAUAGAUUGCAAGUAGCAGCAGAAAGAGCUUUCUUAGGAAGCUCAUGAACUCCUGCAAUGAUCAAGUCUAAUACAGAUGUCGUAAUUAACGUGUGACAGGCCUAACAGGGUGUAAAGCGCAGCGGUGCAGUGGCUGAUCCCUUAAUGUGUCUCGUUCCCGCAGGGUGGACUGAGGAACAGCAAGCACGAGUGUACGCUCUCGUCACAGGAGUACGUGCACGAGCUGCGCUCAGGCAUCUCCGAAGACAAACUGCUCAACUGCCUGGAGUCCCUGCGUGUGUCCUUGACCAGCAACCCCGUCAGGUCAGUGAGUCAUUUCUCACAGACUCUGUCCACAGAACUAACCAUUCCAUUCUCUCCACAUUCUGUUGAUAAACCUGACAUUAACACUCAUUUCAGCAACCUCCUACCACCUUCUCACUGUGAAAUGAAAAGUUAAACCUCCUUUUUCUGUCGGCACAUGGCAAUGUUAGCGGAUUUCUUUCAAGAUGCUAAUUGGAAAUCUGUCAAUGAGUCUUUUAAUCUCCGGUUUGUAUGGAUCCCCAUUUCUGAUUAAAUGAGCGUAGCCCAUAGCAUGGGCCAGCUAAAUGAGUGUAUCCACCAGUCACUUUAACCCGGCCCUGUCAUCUCCCCCUCUCUAUCUAUUAAGCUCUAAUAGAUAGGAAAUCCUUUUUUUAACACUUCAGACAGCCAGCCAUUCUCUGAAACGUUAAUAAGCACACCAACCACCACUACAAGACCAGACGCCUUUGCUUUCAAGUAUCUUCUUUAAAGUGUGUAUCCUGUCGUUUCUCGACUGCUUUCUUAAUCUGUUCUGAUCAUGCCUUAUGUAGUACUUAAAAUAAUUUACCAUUUCCUUUCCCCCUCCCCAAUAUUUUUUUUUUAUCCUCUCAUUCAUUCAUUCAUUCAUUCAUAAGACCCAUCUCAGUUCCCCCAGCCUGCUCUCCCAGAAAGUCGUCUCAACUCCCCUCUCAUGGACGGGUAUUCUCAAAUUUAAUUUGGUCCCAGUAAGCUCACUUUCUUAAUUCUGUUCUGAUCAUGCCUUAUGUAGUACUUAAAUAAUUUACCUAUUUCCUUCCCCUCCCCUAAUAUUUUUUUUUUAUUCCUCUCAUUCAUUCAUUCAUUCAUUCAUAAGACCCAUCUCAGUUCCCCCAGCCUGCUCUCCCAGAAAGUCGUCUCAACUCCCCUCUCAUGGACGGGAUUCUCAAAUUUAAUUGGUCCCAGUAGCUCAGAGGAACACUAUGUGACAGCAGACUCUCUCAAUAAUUUACCAGAGCACUGUCUGAGAGAUGGCUCUUAAUGUGAAUCAAUGAGCGCAGCGUAUAAAAUGGUCAUCACACAAUUGGCAGCAAGACGAUCUCUUUAGGUCCACUGUUGCGCAGUGGGAGAAAGGACCUAAGUGGAACCAACAUUUGAUCCGAUGGAAUUAUGCCUUGUGCUCUCAACAGAUGUGUUUUGCACUGGAAAGCAAUUAAUAGACGCCCCUGCCCUUCUCUCCAGACGGCGGUACAGUGCAGUGAGUCAAAGGAUCACAAACACCGGAAUGGCUUUGCUAUUGUUUCCCUGUCACAGAAAACAUAAUCUAGAAUGUGAGUUGUAAAACACUGCGCCUCAAGGUAAUCUCUUGUUAUUGGCCUAAUUAAAUGAAGGGAUGGCAUCUCGUUCUGUUGUCUUUAUCAGAUCAUCACAGUGUGGCGUCAGGGCCCCGUGUAUCCAAUUAUUUACUCCACCAUUAGCCAUUAAUCAUCGGGAAUGGAGACCGAGCAUUGUUCUUUGAGAAGCCCGCACUUCGUACCCCCAUUAGGACAGGUUGUUUGUAAAGAUCAGACUUGCUGGCUGAAGAUGAGUGGCGUCAGCACUUCCUCUCAGUAAAAGGGCAGUUUGCGCUGUGGGGCUGGCGAGGCCAGGACCACCCCUGGCGAGGCCAGGACCACCCUCCAGGCGUUUGCAAAUGGCUGAACUUGUGAGUACGCAGUCAGAGAGGGGUGCCGAGUGGUGUCUCGCUCACCCACUGAAGGUCAGGUCUUGCUCGGAGAGAAGCACCCUGGAGUGACGUGAUACUUGGUCGACGUGUUGAUAUCAUACAACUUUUAAGCACACUGAAAGAAUACUCUCAAGAAGCUUCUCACCGGCUUGCUUGUGUUACAGUUAAUAUAAGUGGAGCUAGGGCUGUGUGAUUAAUCGAAAUCGAAUCGAAAUCGCGAUUUGAGACGUUGCAAUUUGCUAAUCGCAAAAGCCUGCGAUGUGGACGCGAUAUUACUCUGUUCCAGACCAUAUGCAUGACUGCCAGCCUUGAGUGGUGCUUCUCAUACUCGCUCCUCUCUUCCCCACACGGUGCGAAUCCCACGUCACGGACGAGCUGUUCACACUUGCCGCACUCACACAGCCUGUUUCGUAACGCUCGGUUAUAAUCAUGCGCGGCCCUGCACCGCAAAUCUCCACGAGCGCUUCUGGCAAUAUGGAUAAGGCUUGACACACGUGCACCAUCUGCGUCGACUCGCGCAUGGCUCUGCAUUUAAAACAAAUGUAAAUCAGUCUAACUGCUUUGCUAAUUUCACUUGGAUGAAAUUAAACAUUCAGGACAUUUUCCACUUGUUCUUAAAAUCCCAAAUACAAUGUAACAUAUGUAAUACUUUAAUAAUUGACUAAAGAAAUACAGUUCUUUAUUUAUAAAAAAUAAACAAAUCUUUCCAGUGAAAUUCAGUAAUUAAGUUAAUUCUGUAAAAGUAGUUAUACUAUUAUAAUCUUGUCUGCUGCAAAAAGUAAAAAUUAUAUAUAUAUAUAUAUAUAUAUAUAUAUAUAUAUAUAUACUACCAUGUCUACACAGUUUUUAUUAUGUUUUCUUUCUUUCAGGAGAAAGGUGCAGAAGCAUCGCCCCUUAUUCAGGCUGAAACUCUGCAGAAGGAUGUUGCUGAAGGGCCAUCCGUCGAUCAGGUUGAGACCCUGCAGACGGGUGUUGCUAAAGGUCCAUGCGGUAAUCAGGCUGAGACCCCACAGACGGGUGUUUCUAAAGAGGCAUGCGGUAAUCAGGCUGAGACCCCGCAGACAGGUGUUUCUAAAAGUCCACGCUGUAAUCAGGCUGAGACCCCGCAGACGGGUGUUUCUAAAGGGGCACAGGGUAAUCAGGCUGAGACCCCGCAGAUGGGUGUUGCUAAAGGGGCACGCGGUAAUCAGGCUGAGACCCCACAGACGGGUGUUUCUAAAGAGGCAUGCGGUAAUCAGGCUGAGACCCCGCAGACGGGUGUUGCUAAAGGUCCACACAAUAAUCAGGCUGAGACAGGGGGUUACUUGC
rnacentral:lncRNA from 1 species